UGGGGAAUUUUGCACAAUGGGGGAAACCCUGAUGCAGCGACGCCGCGUGAUUUAGAAGGCCUUCGGGUUGUAAAAAUCUUUUCUAUGGGAAGAAACUGACAGUACCAUAGGACUAAGGACCGGCUAAUUUCGUUCCAGCAGCCGCGGUAAUACGUAAGGUCCGAGCGUUGUCCGGAAUCAUUGGGCGUAAAGGGUACGUAGGCGGGUAAGCAAGUUAGAAGUGAAAGCCUAUAGCUCAACUAUAGUAAGCAUUUAAAACUGCACAUCUUGAGGGAUGGAAGGGGAAGUGGAAUUCCUAGUGUAGCGGUGAAAUGCGCAGAUAUUAGGAGGAAUACCGGUGGCGAAGGCGGCUUUCUGGACAUAUCCUGACGCUGAGGUACGAAAGCGUGGGGAGCAAACAGG
rnacentral:rRNA from 1 species